UUCUAAGGUGCAACCUGUGAGGGGUUA
rnacentral:piRNA from 1 species